rnacentral:rRNA from 1 species
GACGAACGCUGGCGGCGUGCCUAAUACAUGCAAGUUGAGCGCUGAAGGUUGGUACUUGUACCGACUGGAUGAGCAGCGAACGGGUGAGUAACGCGUGGGGAAUCUGCCUUUGAGCGGGGGACAACAUUUGGAAACGAAUGCUAAUACCGCAUAAAAACUUUAAACACAAGUUUUAAGUUUGAAAGAUGCAAUUGCAUCACUCAAAGAUGAUCCCGCGUUGUAUUAGCUAGUUGGUGAGGUAAAGGCUCACCAAGGCGAUGAUACAUAGCCGACCUGAGAGGGUGGUCGGCCACAUUGGGACUGAGACACGGCCCAAACUCCUACGGGGGGCAGCAGUAGGGAAUCUUCGGCAAUGGACGAAAGUCUGACCGAGCAACGCCGCGUGAGUGAAGAAGGUUUUCGGAUCGUAAAACUCUGUUGGUAGAGAAGAACGUUGGUGAGAGUGGAAAGCUCAUCAAGUGACGGUAACUACCCAGAAAGGGACGGCUAACUACGUG